AGCAGUCGCCACGGUAAUACGGAGGGAGCUAGCGUUGUUCGGAAUUACUGGGCGUAAAGCGCACGUAGGCGGUUAUUCAAGUCAGAGGUGAAAGCCCGGGGCUCAACCCCGGAACUGCCUUUGAAACUAGAUGACUGGAAUCUUGGAGAGGUCAGUGGAAUUCCGAGUGUAGAGGUGAAAUUCGUAGAUAUUCGGAAGAACACCAGUGGCGUAGGCGACUGACUGGACAAGUAUUGACGCUGAGGUGCGAAAGCGUGGGGAGCAAACAGGAUUAGAUACCCGGGUAGUCCCUGUCUCUUAUAC
rnacentral:rRNA from 1 species